AACUAAACGUUGAGAUGAGUAAACUGCAGUUUUCGCUCAGAGAGUCGCUGCUUGGUGAAAAGCGAUCGAAGAUAACAGUUGAAGAUGGUCUCAAUCAAGUCGUAUCGCUGAGCCUAGGGGUUAGGUGAUAUCGGGUCCGCCCGUUACAGUGGUAGGUUAUAGCACUUGUGCUGUAGCUGAAGUGUCAUGGCAAUUGUUUUUAGGCAGUUGACAUGGAAUAAAGGUGGUACCGCGUGCAAACGUCCUUUUU
rnacentral:ncRNA from 1 species